GCCGAGGUAGCUCAGUGGUAGAGCGUCGCCCUGAAGAGGCGAGCGUCGGGAGUUCGAUUCUCCCCCUCGGCA
rnacentral:tRNA from 1 species